rnacentral:ncRNA from 2 species
CAGCGACGACAGGGGUGCCUGCCCCGAGCGAGGGCGGGCUGAGAUCACACCCUUUGAACCUGAUCCGGUUCGCACCGGCGAAGGGAGUCCGCGCAUGACCUGC